ensembl:lncRNA
AGGGAUUUAGGCAAAUACUUAAAUAUGUCUGUAAGGGCUUUGCUGCGUUUGAGACUACAGAUUCACAAAGGUGUCACCCCAGGGUUCGCACCUCCAUCUUGCCAAGAGGGCUUUGGUCCUGAGAUAUGAGUAUUAGCAACUGAGCCUGGUACUUUGCAGAAGAGAUCUGAUAGGAAUACUGCUGAAUGCUUGCAUAAAUGCACGUUCUGUAGGUGCUCUUGUGAAGAAUGAUAGAAUUUAUUCUUACUUAUUCAAAAUGUUAAAAGGAUUAUUUUGAAGAUGAGAAUGCAAGACAUCAAGAGAAGGAACCCCUGGUGACUAUGGCAAUAUUUCAGAAGAAAGGAGUGUGUUUAAAUGACAUCAGGCUUAAGGGGAGAAUCAAGCCCAGCUUUCCUGGGUCCAACCACAAGGUUAUCAUAUGUACGGUCCUUCAACAAAAGAGGCAGCCUGCUCAGACAGGUUUUAUCCUACCACAGGACGGCUCAGGAACUGCUUAGCCCUCACAGGAGAAAGUCCUGUGGCUGCAGCAAUCAUAACAGAGGAGACCACAGAAUGCUACCAGGAGCAGCAUUAUUUGUACCAGGAAAAAAAAGGAAAAAAAGAAGAAAACCUUCACUCACAUCCACCACCAGGCAGSCAAGGGAACCAAGCCUCCGAACAUGGCACUUCAGCAAAGUGAUCUGACCCACACCAUACACAACCCCUAAGCCUUUUCAUGCCAAGCACAGUCAGAAGGAAACAUGCUGGUACGGUGAAGAUAUGAUUGGUGCGUAUGCAGCUACAGAGUCAGAACUUUACUUAUAGAAGAACUUAACUGGUGGAAAAUUAAGUGAUUUAGAUAAGGUAGAAAAUCUGUAACAAGUAUCUUGCCUAAAAUGUGGAAGCCAAUUUAGUGGCAGGUGGGUACUUGGGUAUCAUUAUGGAUCCAAAAAUACGUGACAGUAUUUUAUGGUAAAUGGCAGGUGGCUUUUUUGUUGUAAAGUGUGCACGCAAGAGAUAAGUACAAGGUACUUGUUUAUAAAGUCAGCAAUGGGCGUAAGUACUGGUUUUGUUAUGCAGUUUCAUCAUAUAGUUUACAUAAAAUUAUAAAAGAUUAUAACAUUUCAUUACAGAAAUGGUUAUGCUAAGCCAGUUCUUUGAUAAUAUUUGCAUUCUUCUAAGUGUCUGCAUGAUGACAGCAACAGUAAUGCAAAUAGUGUGCUCGGGUGUUUUUCUUUUUCUUUCUUUUUUUUUUUUUUUUUUUUUUUUUGGUAAAUAGGCUAGAACCAGCUGUCAUUUUUAAUAGUGUAGACGUACAGUGCUUUACAGAGCCAGGGUAGAUAAUUUCUAGGCAGAUUGUUUCUUAGUUAUUCUUAGAAGAAGCAUAUGUGCUGCAUAGCAAUGCCAGGAAAUCACUUGCAGCAAGUAUAACAGUAGCAAAAAAAUACCUGCUAUUAAUUGGCACUUAUAAAUUUGAACUAUCUGUACAUUUUAGCCAGUGAUAUUACAGGUAAAAAUUAAUUUCAAUAGGAUAGUAAGCUAGUACUAAAUUGUGUAGGUUUAAGUGCUAAAACAGUGUUUCUGCAAAAUGCCUUUAGCAGGAAAUUUUUUGACAUCAAAAAACUAUAUGAAAUUCCUUACAUUAAUGAUGAAAAUUUCAGUGAAGUGAUUCAAGGGAUACUUCAGAAUAUUUCAGAAUUCAAAAUAGCUUGUUUGCUUAGAGUUCAUUUAAUGGUACAGUUUUCAUUCCCUAUUCAACUGAUCCCACUCCAAAUUUUCAAAACGGAUCGCUAUCUCUCUCAGGUAACCACGGUAUGAAAGAAAAGUAUGUCUUCAAAAUUAGUAAGCAUACACAAGGUAGGCAUCUCAUGCUAGCCAGCAAAAAAACUGACUAUAAGGGAAGUACUUAUAAAUAUAAUGAGAGUUUGCCAGUUUUCUCCCCCAGUAAUUUCUACAAGCUAAGACAAUGCAACUCAACAAUGAGACAAGGAGAAAGAACACAAAAGCUGCUUUCCGCAAACUGUAAAUGAGAAACUACAAAUAAUCAAGGAGAUGCUCUCUCUCGCCUUUCUCUGUAUUGCUCCUGCCCAAAACAUGAUCCAGUUUCUUCUUAUAUUCUUCCUCCAGCAAUCUUAAGGAGUAUUUAUUUAUUUUCCUCAGCAAACACAACAAUCAAAGAAAACUUGCAGGUUGCACACAAGGACAUUGGAAUAUGCGGAACCAAACAAAAAUUUUUUAACAAACAAACUAUGUAUAGGUAUAAGUAUGUAUGUAUAUGUACAUGUACAUGUACAUGUUUAUAUAUUUGCAUAUGUAUAUGUGUAUAUAAAUAAAAAUAAUAAUAAAAGCA